rnacentral:rRNA from 1 species
GAUGAACGCUAGCUACAGGCUUAACACAUGCCAGUCGAGGGGAAACGGCAUCGAAAGCUUGCUUUUGAUGGGCGUCGACCGGCGCACGGGUGAGUAACGCGUAUCCAACCUGCCCAUCACUUGGGAAUAACCUUGCGAAAGUAAGACUAAUGCCCAAUGACAUCCCACGAAGGCAUCCGAAUGGGAUUAAAGAUUUAUCGGUGAUGGAUGGGGAUGCGUCUGAUUAGCUUGUUGGCGGGGUGACGGCCCACCAAGGCAACGAUCAGUAGGGGUUCUGAGAGGAAGGUCCCCCACAUUGGAACUGAGACACGGUCCAAACUCCUACGGGAGGCAGCAGUGAGGAAUAUUGGUCAAUGGGCGAGAGCCUGAACCAGCCAAGUAGCGUGCAGGAUGACGGCCCUAUGGGUUGUAAACUGCUUUUAGAAGGGAAUAAAGUGGGUCACGUGUGACUUUUUGCAUGUACCUUAUGAAUAAGGACCGGCUAAUUCCGUG